GAUGAAGAACGUAGCGAAAUGCGAUAAGUAAUGUGAAUUGCAGAAUUCAGUGAAUCAUCGAAUCUUUGAACGCACAUUGCGCCCGCCAGUAUUCUGGCGGGCAUGCCUGUCUGAGCGUCAUUUCAACCCUCAUGCCCCUAGGGCGUGGUGUUGGGGAUCGGCCAAAGCCCGCGAGGGACGGCCGGCCCCUAAAUCUAGUAGCGGACCCGUCGUGGCCUCCUCUGCGAAGUAGUGAUAUUCCGCAUCGGAGAGCGAUGAGCCUCUGCCGUUAAACCCCCAACUUUCCAAGGUUGACCUCAGAUCAGGUAGGAAUACCCGCUGAACUUAAGCAUAUCAAUAAGCGGAGGA
rnacentral:misc_RNA from 1 species